GGUCUAAGCUGAGGAGAGAGUCUAAGCUUGGGGCCCAAGGCUGGAGUUCCCCAGGUAGGAGGGGCUGUGAUGCGAGCGACACCCGGCCCAGCACCGCCAGGCUGGGGACACUCCACUCCUUCAUCAGUUUAUUCCAAAAUAUUUUGAACCCCUGCUGUGCUCCAGGCGGCGUCAUAAACGGUGGGGACAAAAGAACGAGAUCGUCUCGUGCCCUUGCGGAGUUCACGGUGUAGAAAAGGAAACAACUAAUGGACAACUACACUGCAGAGCCAAGAGGGAGCGGUCAUAGAGGGGGCCCUGAACCAGACUUGGGGAGGUCAGGGAAGGCUUACUGGAGGAGCUGGUGGCUAAAAGAACUGAAGGAUGUGCAUGAAUUAUCCGGUUGGAGUGACCUGGGGAGGUAGAUUGUCCCAGGUGGAGCCGAAGGGGAGAGGGAGCCGACUGUCUGAAAACUGAAGGGUCUGAGGAGCCGAAAGAACUUGGUAUGGCCACACUUCACGUUCAGACCCCUGGAAAGAUGCAGAAAGAUUGUGUCUGAGGCUGGAUGUAUUCCACUAGGAGCAUGAUUGGUUGGUGAGGAUUUGGUGAGGAUUUCGAAUCUCCCACGUGCUGCGCAUUCCCGCUAGUGGAGGAGCUAAGAGGAUACUCGUGGACCGUUCCCUGCAAUUUACCUGAGCAUCUGUGAGCCAGGCACUCUGCAGGACCCUUAGGAUGUGCUGUGGAAGGAGGCAGUGUCUCUACGCAAAAGGAGCUACAAGUCUGCAGUGGGGGAGAGACCUGUACUCAGCGCUUGGAUGAGGUGCAUGGGAACACAGGCUACAUCACCUUAGACUUAUAAUGACAACAACGAACAUCCAAGUGACUCCCUGCAUCUACCUUCACUACGCCCAUCUGCCUGCAUAUUCUCUGAUGGAUCCACAGUCAACAAACACCUAGAGGGGUCUCUCCAUUAAGCACAGAGAUGCCUUGAAUCUUCCAGAAAGCUAGACUUCUGAGCUAAUCUGGGCCUAUUUCCCCGCUCUGGAGAGAUGCCCUCCAGCUCAUCAUUGCGGCGCUUGAUGUAAAUGGAAAAGGGGUAGGAAAGC